CCUACGGGCGGCAGCAGUGGGGAAUAUUGCACAAUGGGGGAAACCCUGAUGCAGCAACGCCGCGUGAGUGAAGAAGGUUUUCGGAGGGUAAAGCUCUGUUAGCAGGGAAGAGGAAGGACGGUACCUGCAGAGGAAGCCACGGCUAACUACGUGCCAGCAGCCGCGGUAAUACGUAGGUGGCAAGCGUUGUGCGGAAGAACUGGGCGUAAAGGAGGCGUAGGCGGUUAAACAAGUUAUAUGUUAAAUAUAUAGGCUUAACCUGUAGAAAGCAUAUAAAACUGUUUAACUAGAGUGCAGGAGCGGUCAGUUGCAUUCCUAGUGUCGCGGUGCACUUCGUAGCGAUUAGG
rnacentral:rRNA from 1 species